rnacentral:lncRNA from 1 species
UAAAUAUAACAUAUUAUUAGGACAGUAUGAUUAGUUUAGUAUAGCAGACUGUGAGGAGAAGUGAUACUGAUCACUUCCCAGUCAAGUCAGUUGAAGGUCUUUAUGCUUCUUCCAUCCCUGUCUCUUCCUCUUCUUUAGCAUCUGGAAGGCCACAUCCUUCAAAUGGUACAGAAAACCAAACAGGACCUCUUUCAAGCUGGGUUUCUGAGUCUGGGAUGUACAACAUAAGCAGAAAACAGAAAUUGAGCUGAACAUCAUAAUGAAGAAAAUAAAGACAGGAAGAGAAAAGGCGGAAGGUGGUAC